rnacentral:rRNA from 1 species
UACGUAGGGUGCAAGCGUUAAUCGGAAUUACUGGGCGUAAAGCGUGCGCAGGCGGUUUUGUAAGUCUGACGUGAAAUCCCCGGGCUUAACCUGGGAAUUGCGUUGGAGACUGCAAGGCUGGAGUCUGGCAGAGGGGGGUAGAAUUCCACGUGUAGCAGUGAAAUGCGUAGAGAUGUAGAGGAACACCGAUGGCGAAGGCAGCCCCCUGGGUCAAGACUGACGCUCAUGCACGAAAGCGUGGGGAGCAAACAGG